AGGAGGGACAACCGCAGUGGCGGCGGCCAGCUCUGGAGCCCUAGAGUCAGCCUCCGCAGUAACUCCGGAGCUCUCUGUCUGCAGGGGCUUGGAUGAUCUGGGGGCGG
rnacentral:pre_miRNA from 1 species